rnacentral:rRNA from 1 species
AGAGUUUGAUCCUGGCUCAGGAUGAACGCUAGCUACAGGCUUAACACAUGCAAGUCGCGGGGCAGCAUGGGGGUUGCUUGCAACCCCCGAUGGCGACCGGCGCACGGGUGAGUAACGCGUAUCCAACCUGCCCUUCACCACGGGAUAACCCGGCGAAAGUCGGACUAAUACCGUAUGUUGUCCAUUGACGGCAUCCGAUUUGGACGAAAGGUUUGGCGGUGAAGGAUGGGGAUGCGUCCGAUUAGCCAGACGGCGGGGUAACGGCCCACCGUGGCUACGAUCGGUAGGGGUUCUGAGAGGAAGGUCCCCCACACUGGAACUGAGACACGGUCCAGACUCCUACGGGAGGCAGCAGUGAGGAAUAUUGGUCAAUGGGCGUAAGCCUGAACCAGCCAAGUAGCGUGCAGGAUGACGGCCCUAUGGGUUGUAAACUGCUUUUAUGCGGGGAUAAAGGAGCCCACGUGUGGGUUUUUGCAGGUACCGCAUGAAUAAGGACCGGCUAAUUCCGUGCCAGCAGCCGCGGUAAUACGGAAGGUCCGGGCGUUAUCCGGAUUUAUUGGGUUUAAAGGGAGCGUAGGCCGCGCCUUAAGCGUGUUGUGAAAUCCGGGUGCUCAACAUCCGGCUUGCAGCGCGAACUGGGGCGCUUGAGUGCGCAGAAAGUAGGCGGAAUUCGUGGUGUAGCGGUGAAAUGCUUAGAUAUCACGAGGAACUCCGAUUGCGAAGGCAGCCUACUGUAGCGCUACUGACGCUGAUGCUCGAAAGCGUGGGUAUCGAACAGGAUUAGAUACCCUGGUAGUCCACGCGGUAAACGAUGGAUGCUCGUUGUCGGCCCUUCGGGUCGGUGACCAAGCGAAAGCGUUAAGCAUCCCACCUGGGGAGUACGCCGGCAACGGUGAAACUCAAAGGAAUUGACGGGGGCCCG